rnacentral:rRNA from 1 species
UUCUAUGGCUAUACCACCUUGGAACGUGCCUGAUCUUGUUUGAUGUUGGAAACUAAGUAGGCUUGGACCUGGUUCUAAUUUGAUGGGAGAGUAUUUAGAUAGAUUACUUCUGGGCCACAAGGA